AUAUAUAAUUAUAAUAUAUAUAAUGUCAUUUUGAUGUCUGUUUAUUUGUUAGAUUUAACGUAUCCUUGUUUUGGGCAGCUUCUGGGAUGUUUCCAAGAUUGGGCAAUCAGGUUUAUUAUCUAAAAAAUUCAUUUUAAUUCUGCAGUCUUUUCAUAGCAAUGCAAAGUACUUUUGACUUUAUUAAUGUUAAUUUUUAUCAAAGUUAAUUUGUUGAAUUAUUUUCUUGGUUAUGAAAAUUGAUUUAGUAUAAAUAUAUUAAGGUAUUAAACUGCAUUAAUUAUUUUUUUUUAAUUAAACUUUUAUUAUCAUAAAAAUGUUCAAGGUUAGUUUGAGGAAUUAUUUGGAAAUCGGAAAAAUGGAAAUUGAUCCCUCUUAGAGAUAUUGGCUAUAAAACAAAUUCAAAAUAGUGAGUUUUAUAAUGCUAUUUUGUUCAGAUAUCUCAGCACCACAAAAAACACCAAAUUUGUUUAUGCUGCAUUUAUACUUCUUGUAUUGAAGAUGCAUACUUAAAAAUUUCGAAUUUUUAAUUCACUGUAUAUUGUGCCAAAUUUCAGUCCGUAAAUUGACCAAUAAGUUCCCUGAGAUAGACUAAGUCUAUAAUAUUUGAAAUUAUUUUGGAAGAAAAAAUUAUUUGUAAAUUAAUUGUCUAAAAAAAUAUUUUUGGUCCAUAAAACCUACAGGAGGUAUACAUUUUAAGAAAAUAAAACAUUGUCACCCAAGAGGGCUUGGCUCAUCUUAUAUGGAAUGACCCUAUUAUAUGCUUAUGAUGUAUAAAUUUUAUACUAUAUUAGUAUGAUUAUUGUAAUAUAUUAUAUGAUAUUUUUAUAAUAAAUUUUUUCUAGUAAUAUAAUAUAAAUUAGUGUAGUAUUAUUAAACUAAUUAAAUUGUGCCAAAUAAUGUUGUUUAAUAAUGUUGUUUAAUACUUGUGUAAUAAUGGUGUUUACCUCUUACCGUCUGACCUGUCUGUUUAUUAUUACUGUUUUUAACAUUAAUUUUGUAUUGCAAGUAUUAAAAAAUGUUAAAUAUGCUGUUUGUAAAAUUAAAGUAGUAUAAACUGUUUAAAAUUAAAGUAGUAUAAAUUAAAGUAGUAAUAACUGCUUUACUAAUUUCUUCAAAAGUUAAUAGUUGAAAAUAAUAAAGACUGUUGUUGUCAAAUUUCUUGGGGAAAAAAAAUUGUUCUUUCUUGUAAUAUUGCUGACAUUUUAACCAAUGUGUGAUUCACUACAUGAAUACUUAUGCCAAAGUUUAUAUGGUCCAAAGGUUAUCUUUAAUAAAACAGAAUAUGAUGUAAGGAGUUGAAGAGGUGUCGAAAUGGAUGUUCAGCCCUUGAUCAGUACAUAUAGUGGUUGUUUUGAUGGUUGUUUACUAUUUGCUAGAUUUGACAUAUUCUUGUUUUGGGCAGCUUCUGGGAUGUUAGCAAGAUAUUUGAGACUUUUUGCAAUUGGCUUUAUUAUCUAAAAAAUGCAUUUUUCUUCUGCAAUCUUUUCAAAGCAAUGCAAAUUACUUUUGAAUUUAUAAAUUUUAAUAAGUUAUUUUAUUCAAUUAUUUUGUAAAUAAUUUAUUCAAUUAUUUUGUAAAUAAUUUAUUAUUUACAAAAUAAUUGAAUAUAUUUUUGGUAUUGUGCUUUUCUGGCAUACAGCACAUGGUGUUGCUUAUUUUUAUUGUUGAUUAGUUUGUAGAUGGUUUUCCAAGCAUCUCAGGUAAAAUAUAAUUGUAUUGACAAAAGCAAUUUUAACGCACAUUUAUCAAGAAUUGAUGAUCAAACAGUUUUA
rnacentral:lncRNA from 1 species